UACGAAGGGGGCUAGCGUUGUUCGGAAUCACUGGGCGUAAAGCGCACGUAGGCGGAUCUUUAAGUCAGGGGUGAAAUCCCGAGGCUCAACCUCGGAACUGCCUUUGAUACUGGGGAUCUCGAGUCCGGGAGAGGUGAGUGGAACUGCGAGUGUAGAGGUGAAAUUCGUAGAUAUUCGCAAGAACACCAGUGGCGAAGGCGGCUCACUGGCCCGGAACUGACGCUGAGGUGCGAAAGCAAGGGGAUCAAACAGG
rnacentral:rRNA from 1 species